rnacentral:rRNA from 1 species
CCAGACUCUACGGGAGGCAGCAGUGAGGAAUAUUGGUCAAUGGGCGAGAGCCUGAACCAGCCAAGUCGCGUGAAGGACGACGGUUCUAUGGAUUGUAAACUUCUUUUGUAGAGGAAUAACGGUAGCUACGUGUAGCUGAGAUGCAUGUACUCUACGAAUAAGUAUCGGCUAACUCCGUGCCAGCAGCCGCGGUAAUACGGAGGAUACGAGCGUUAUCCGGAAUUAUUGGGUUUAAAGGGUGCGUAGGUGGCGUAUUAAGUCAGUGGUGAAAAGCUGCAGCUCAACUGUAGUCUUGCCGUUGAAACUGAUAUGCUAGAGAGGAGACGAGGUAUGCGGAAUGUGUGGUGUAGCGGUGAAAUGCAUAGAUAUCACACAGAACGCCGAUUGCGAAGGCAGCGUACCAGGCUCCGUCUGACACUGAAGCACGAAAGCGUGGGGAUCAAACAGGAUUAGAUACCCUGGUAGUCCACGCAGUAAACGAUGAAUACUAGAUUUUUGCGAUAUACUGUAAGAGUCUAAGCGAAAGCGAUAAGUAUUCCACCUGGGGAGUACGCCGGCAACGGUGAAACUCAAAGGAAUUGACGGGGGCCCGCACAAG